rnacentral:rRNA from 1 species
GAUGAACGCUGGCGGCGUGCCUAAUACAUGCAAGUCGAGCGAAUGGAUUGAGAGCUUGCUCUUAUGAAGUUAGCGGCGGACGGGUGAGUAACACGUGGGUAACCUGCCCAUAAGACUGGGAUAACUCCGGGAAACCGGGGCUAAUACCGGAUAACAUUUUGAACCGCAUGGUUCGAAAUUGAAAGGCGGCUUCGGCUGUCACUUAUGGAUGGACCCGCGUCGCAUUAGCUAGUUGGUGAGGUAACGGCUCACCAAGGCAACGAUGGGUAGCCGACCUGAGAGGGUGAUCGGCCACACUGGGACUGGGACACGGCCCAGACUCCUACGGGAGGCAGCAGUAAGGAAUCUUCCGCAAUGGACGAAAGUCUGACGGAGCAACGCCGCGUGAGUGAUGAAGGCUUUCGGGUCGUAAAACUCUGUUGUUAGGGAAGAACAAGUGCUAGUUGAAUAAGCUGGCACCUUGACGGUACCUAACCAGAAAGCCACGGCUAACUACGUGCCAGCCGCCGCCGUAA